UUAAUCGAAAAAAAGGACCAAUUGUGAUGUUUAUGGGACAUAUUGGAGUGCCAACAAAGAAGCUCUUCAAAGGUAAUGCAUGUUUUAUAUUUUAUUUCAGCGUUUUGUGUAGCGCCUUUUACGCUAGUUCACAGCUGGUUCAGGUGGGUGCAUGCUAUCAGAUAAUAGCUUCUCAUGCUUUCGCCGAAAAGCAUUUUUUAAAUCUGACAUGUUGGCUGGAUUCACAACGAGUGUAGCUUUAAUUGAGCACCCUGCAUGUGUGAUUUAAUGAAAGUUUGAGUUUUAACGCGUUUUAUUUGAAUUUGGCGCUCUGCAUUUCCCGAGGCUAUUGGCCACUUGGGACGCUAGCGUCUCACUAUCCUCAAGUUGAUCUUCUUGACUGAUGCCAAGGCGGUGGCUGCUAUUGGAGCAGCUGCUGACCAGAAAACUGCAGCCAAGGCAGCACUAGUCCACACCUGUCUGUCGAACGCAGACCCCAAGACGUUCAAGGAGCAGUUUGAGAGCAAACAUCCCAAAUCUCCAAUGAUCCCAGUACUGGUUGAUGUUCAUCCUUAGGUGACCACACACUCUCUAUUGGACCUACUGUACAGCUGGGAUACACGAUGACCACGAUUUCAAUGCUUGCAACUGAGAUGGAAUGUGACCCCGAGUAUGUGACCCCGAAUAUGACUGGACAUGAAAUAUGUGACAAUGACUGACCUUAAAAGGGGUGCAGAAGCACACCAGCACCCCAUUUUAUGUUUAUCCAUCAUCCCUAUAAACCCACCCUACCUUGUUUAUUUUCCCUAUUCUGCUUCUUUCACUUGUUCUUCUCCUGAUUUGAUAACAUCUAGACUCAGUAACACAUUUAAAAGUGUUAUGGUGUAGUUUUUGUUACCUUUUCCCCCCAUUGUAUCUCUGUCAUCCUCCUGCUUUUUCUGAGGUUCAGACAAUGUACGGUAAAUGUGCUGCUCACAAUUGACAGCAGAAACAUAGAUCUGUUUAAUAUACAAGAAGGAUGAUGAUAUAGCUGCGUUUAGGCAUGGCUUCCUUGUUUAGAGUCUGGUAAGUGUGUUUCUCAAUCUGCUGGAGUUGACCUAGUAUUUUAUAUUAAACCUACCUAAAACAUCCAGUUGUUUCUCCAUUUGUAACUC